rnacentral:lncRNA from 1 species
UUCUUUUUUUUGUACAUUAAUUAACUAUUUACUUUCAACGCCAUCACCCAAAUGUUUUUGUUUAAAUUAGCACUAUUUACGGUAUUCGGAAAUCAGGGAAUCAUGCAAAACAUUAAUUUGUCAUCUGCUUGACCAUAAUAAUUUUUUUCUGAUAAAAUUUGUGAUCAAAAUACCUUUUUUUAGGAAAAAACCAUACCCCCCC